UGGGGAAUCUUGCACAAUGCGCGAAAGCGUGAUGCAGCAACGCCGCGUGAGGGAAGACGGCUUUCGGGUUGUAAACCUCUUUCAGUUGGGACGAAGCCUCGUCGGUUAAUAGCCGGCUGGGGUGACGGUACCUUCAGAAGAAGCCCCGGCUAACUACGUGCCAGCAGCCGCGGUAAUACGUAGGGGGCAAGCGUUGUCCGGAAUCAUUGGGCGUAAAGCGCGUGUAGGCGGUCCGGUAAGUCCGCUCUGAAAGUCGGGGGCUCAACCCUCGGAUGCGGGUGGAUACUGUCGGGCUAGAGUGCGGAAGAGGCGAGUGGAAUUCCUGGUGUAGCGGUGAAAUGCGCAGAUAUCAGGAGGAACACCAAUUGCGAAGGCAGCUCGCUGGGACGUUACUGACGCUGAGACGCGAAAGCGUGGGGAGCAAACAGG
rnacentral:rRNA from 1 species